rnacentral:rRNA from 1 species
AUUGAACGCUAGCGGGAUGCUUUACACAUGCAAGUCGAACGGAGUGGCAGACGUGUGAGAAAUACAUCGAAACGUGCACCGUAGAGGGGGAUAACUACUAGAAAGAUUGGCUACUACCGCAUACUCAUAGCGCAGCCGAUAUAGGCUUAGCUAGUUGGUGGGGUCAAGGCUCACAAAGGACACGAUCCGUAGCUGGUUUGAGAGGACGACCAGGCACACUGGUACUGCGACAUGGCCCAGACUCCUACGGGAGGCAGCAGUGGGGAAUUUUGAACAAUGGGUGAAACCCUGAUCCAGCCAUCCCGCGUGUAUGAUGAAGGCCUUCGGGUUGUAAAGUACUUUUGGCAGAGAAGCGGUAUCUGCAGAAGAAGCACCGGCUAACUACGUGCCAGCAGCCGCGGUAAUUC